rnacentral:rRNA from 1 species
AUUGAACGCUGGCGGCAGGCCUAACACAUGCAAGUCGAGCGGUAACAGAGAGUAGCUUGCUACUUUGCUGACGAGCGGCGGACGGGUGAGUAAUGCUUGGGAAUAUGCCUUUUGGUGGGGGACAACAGUUGGAAACGACUGCUAAUACCGCAUGAUGUCUACGGACCAAAGUGGGGGACCUUCGGGCCUCACGCCAAAAGAUUAGCCCAAGUGGGAUUAGCUAGUUGGUAAGGUAAUGGCUUACCAAGGCAACGAUCCCUAGCUGGUUUGAGAGGAUGAUCAGCCACACUGGGACUGAGACACGGCCCAGACUCCUACGGGAGGCAGCAGUGGGGAAUAUUGCACAAUGGGCGCAAGCCUGAUGCAGCCAUGCCGCGUGUGUGAAGAAGGCCUUCGGGUUGUAAAGCACUUUCAGUCAGGAGGAAAGGGUGUGUUUUAAUAGAGCAUAUCUGUGACGUUACUGACAGAAGAAGCACCGGCUAACUCCGUGCCAGCAGCCGCGGUAAUACGGAGGGUGCGAGCGUUAAUCGGAAUUACUGGGCGUAAAGCGUACGCAGGCGGUUUGUUAAGCGAGAUGUGAAAGCCCCGGGCUCAACCUGGGAACUGCAUUUCGAACUGGCAAACUAGAGUGUGAUAGAGGGUGGUAGAAUUUCAGGUGUAGCGGUGAAAUGCGUAGAGAUCUGAAGGAAUACCGAUGGCGAAGGCAGCCACCUGGGUCAACACUGACGCUCAUGUACGAAAGCGUGGGGAGCAAACAGGAU